rnacentral:piRNA from 1 species
UGUGACUUGUCAUGGGACCUGAC